rnacentral:rRNA from 1 species
UUAAUUGAAGAGUUUGAUCAUGGCUCAGAUUGAACGCUGGCGGCAGGCCUAACACAUGCAAGUCGGGCGGUAACAGGGAGAAGCUUGCUUCUCCGCUGACGAGCGGCGGACGGGUGAGUAAUGUAUGGGGAUCUGCCUGAUGGCGGGGGAUAACUACUGGAAACGGUAGCUAAUACCGCAUAAUGUCUUCGGACCAAAGCGGGGGACCUC